GACGAACGCUGGCGGCGUGCUUAACACACGCAAGUCGAACGGAAAGGCCCUGCUUGCAGGGUACUCGAGUGGCGAACGGGUGAGUAACACGUGGGUGAUCUGCCCUGCACUUCGGGAUAAGCCUGGGAAACUGGGUCUAAUACCGGAUAGGAGCCAUUUUUAGUGUGAUGGUUGGAAAGUUUUUUCGGUGUAGGAUGAGCUCGCGGCCUAUCAGCUUGUUGGUGGGGUAAUGGCCUACCAAGGCGGCGACGGGUAGCCGGCCUGAGAGGGUGGACGGCCACAUUGGGACUGAGAUACGGCCCAGACUCCUACGGGAGGCAGCAGUGGGGAAUAUUGCACAAUGGGCGCAAGCCUGAUGCAGCGACGCCGCGUGGGGGAUGACGGCCUUCGGGUUGUAAACUCCUUUCGCUAGGGACGAAGCUUUUUGUGACGGUACCUAGAGAAGAAGCACCGGCUAACUACGUG
rnacentral:rRNA from 1 species